rnacentral:rRNA from 1 species
GACGAACGCUGGCGGCGUGCUUAACACAUGCAAGUCGAACGGAAAGGCCCUGCUUGCCGGGUCCUCGAGUGGCGAACGGGUGAGUAACCCGUGGGUGCUCUGCCCUUCACUUCGGGUUAAGCCUGGGAAACUUGGUCUCUUACCGGAUAGGAGCCAUCUUCAGUGUGAUGGUUGGAAAGUUUUUUCGGUGUAGGAUGAGUUCGGGGCCUAGAAGCUUGUUGGUGGGGUAAGGGCCUACCAAGGCAACGACGGGUAGCCGGCCGGGGAGGGGGGGCGGCCACAGUGGGACUGGGAUAGGGCCCAGACUCCUACGGGAGGGAGAAGGAGGGAAGGGUACACAAGGGGAGCAAGCCUGAUGCAGCGACGCCGCGGGGGGGAGGACGGCCUUCGGGUUAUAGACGCAUUUCGCUAGGGACGAAGCAGUUUGUGACGGUACCUAGAUAAGAAGCACCGGCUAACUACGUG